rnacentral:tRNA from 1 species
UCAGGAUAGCUCAGUCCGGUUAGAGCAGAGGACUGAAAAUUCUCGUGUCACCAGUUCAAAUCUGGUUCCUG